ensembl:snRNA U6 U6 spliceosomal RNA
GUGCUCGCUUCAGCAGCACAUAUACUAAAACUGGAACGAUACAGAGAAGAUUAGCAUGGAC